UUCUCAUUUCUCACGUUUGCUUCUCUACCUCUCUACUUCGUUUGCUCACUGCUCUGUUUGCCUCUCUAAACAAAACCCUCAAAUCAGACGGUUGAUACCACAUCUGCGGCGCACCCACAACCUCAAAUCGGAGGCGCUUCUUCUCAUCCAAUCCAACUUGUCAACGCCGCUCUCUAGCUUAUUCUUCCAAUCCAUAUUCAAAUCAGCGGCGCACUCAUAUCCAAUCCAACUCGGCAGCGCUUCAUCUCUUCCCGGACGACUCGGCGGCGCUUCUUCUCUUCCAUUCUAAAUCGGCAGCGCCACCCACAAUCUUCAGUGAGUAGCAGUCAAAGAUUGGAGAAAGUUCUGGCUCCCUUUUGUCCUUUUUAGGUCCAAUAUGUCCAUACUCAAGAACAAGAUCAGUUGGCUGUGAUCUUGUCUUUCCAUUGUUUGAUGAUCCUGUUGCAUGCUGAUGCACCCCUCUUGCCCCUGUGUAAAAAUCCAAUUUUGAAUUUACUUGGUUAGUCAACAUACUUCUUAAUGAUGCCUCUCAUGUCUAGACUCUGAUACUGCCCUCCACCUUUCAGUUUCUAUUUCAGCUUGCUUUCUCUUAGCCUUUGAUAGUUUAACCUCCUUUAAAAGCAAGUGUUUCUCUGUUGUAUCCAGCUUGUUCUUCCUAAGCAUUGCUGACAGAAUUUUUUCUUUUUGCUCCAAAUCCUUAUGCGUUUUUACCAUCUCCAUUGAUAGUUUUUGAACCAUCAAGUCUGCCUCCUCCUUUGGCUCUAAUACUACUCCAAGUUCUUGUUUUGUAGCUUCAAUUUUCCUAAGUUCGCAGCCCAUUCCAACUUCAAGUUGCCGUUGGUUUGUCACAACUUCAAUGAAGGCAGAUUUGUGCUUCCAUAGCUCAGAAGAAUGCUCUUCUUGGGCUUCAAGCGUUGCAGUUUCUCUCAAUUCUUUGAUGACAUUUUUAGCUUCUUUUAGCUUUUCUUCUAAUUCACUCUUAUUCUGCUUCUCACAACUUUCUCAGUGGCUCUUGCAUCUUCAUGUCUCAGUUUUUUCAACUCUUCCGUCUCUCUCCCAGCAGUUUCAAGUUUAUAGAGAAGCUCACACUUUCCUUCCCUGGCUCCUUCUCUCUGGACCUUCCACACAAGCAAACCCAGUAGCUGGGCAGUUCCUUGCUGCAAUUUAGUGAAUUUUAUUUUUAAUUGAAAGGGAGAUUGAAUUUCGUGAGUUGCACUACCCUUGUUUAUGUGAGUUGCCCUGCAUGUUUUUAGAUAUCAAUUUAUGUUGUUUGAUUGGUGAGGAUGCUAAGAUGCAUAUAUAUGAAAAGAGCAAAACUUAGAUAUAGUACCUUAGGUAUCCUUUUUAAAAUUAAAACACCUGUCCACAAGUUGCUGUAAGAAAGUGAAGUUCUGGUAAUGCCAAGGAUUAUUUAUUGAAGUUCUUAACUUGCGGCUAGCUAGUAUAUUACUUCAUUUAGGUAGUAAGUGGAGACAUAAAUACAUAUUUGAUUGUUCUAACUAGCAUUCUGCAUUUACUGUUUUUAAGGAGCUUUUAACAGCAUUAUGUGAAGGCCAAUGUACGCGAAGAACAUAAAUAUUUGUACAUAUCUGUCUGCUUCUUAGUGCCACCUUUUGACUAUUUUUGUUAAUAUUUCUCAUUUUGCCUUGGUUCUGACUUGUGCAUAGGCAGACAGAUUGGCAAAGUUUGCCACUUCAGGAUUUAUGAGGGAUGCAUUUCAAGCAUCUUGAGACAUAAAGUGAUUUGCAGCUCAACCAUUUCAAACGGUAGAAAGACGUGUUAGAUUGAAUAGGCAGUAGGACUUAUGACGUUGAAUACAUUCAAAUUAUUUUGUACAGUUGCAAGUUAUUUAAAAAUUGCACAA